CUGGCAGAAAUAAAACACAUAUUCAUUGCAUGCAAUGCACCUUUAUGUGCAAGCACAUAAAUUUCAAAGAAGCUAUCCAAUAUUAUUAUUAAAUAUUGCACCAAGAAGAAGCACAAGAUUUCCCUUCCUAGUGCUUUCAAUUCAAUUUGCUUUUUGACAUCUUCUCCACUCUAUAUUCUUUCAAUAUUUGUUCAUCCCAUGACACACACACACGGAUAUAGAUUAUUAAAAAACAUAUGUCUGCACCACCAUCAAUAAUUGGACUUUCAACAUUAAUCUUCUUCAUAACCUUAUUCUCCUAAUAAUUCAACUUGAACAACACAGGUCCCCUGCUGCAGUAUCUUUUUCUUAGGUACAGAUAUCUUAUAAAAAUAUCAUCUGUUUCACCAAAAAUUUGAUCUGUAUAGUCUAGUCCAGAAAGUCAAUAAGAAUUGCAUUAAAAAGAAAGGCGCUAUUUUUAUGUGUCUGUGUCAGGAGGGCCUACUACACAAGGUAUUAAAUCAAACAAACAUAGAAAUAAAAACUAUCAAGGGAUCAUCAUCAUAAAAGUAAUUUUUCACCUAUGGAGAGACCUCAUAUAAUUGCUAUAACUCUACAAGGCACCGAAAGCAAUAGCUAUACCAAGUGAUGGCAUCAUAUGGGAAUUGCGAAACUCAUUCCGUCCAAUUGCCAUUCCUAAAGAGGCUAAACUGACAUUAAUGUGGCUAACACAAUAGUUGGUCAUGCAACCAAACAUGUAUCUGUGUGUAAAUCGUACCAAUAGAGGAGUUUCCUGGCCUGCAUGGAACUAAGAAGUGAAUUCAAUCUUGAUCACAGUGGCUAAAACUAUGCUAGUGCUCUAUGCCUAAUAGGAGUAUAGGAAAAAAAAAAUUGAAAAUGAAGUGCAAAAACAAAACAUGAAAAUGAUUGUGUGCUAACCAGGGAAAGGGAAGACAAAAGUUAAAUGGAUGUGGAUCAAAAGUAUAGCAUGGCAAUUAACAUACUUGCCACAAUUAUGAGGCAUUUUAAGUCAUCUUCUUGUGGUUCUCACAGGGACACCCCAGUAGUAUGAACUUGGGAUUUAAAUAUGCCAGGUUCAAAUCUCGGUGAGCUUGGGGUUUGGGAGAGGAUGUGGAUUACUAUGGGUAGGGACUACCCUAUUAUGGGCCUCCAAGGUGAGGAGAAAAGAAAAGAACUAGAUAAGGUCCAAUUAGUGAACAGAACAAUGCCCCAAUAAUCACGACCACUACUUCUAUGCUUUAAAAAUCAACACAAAGACAGAACCACAAAUGAAAAAUCAAGUUAUUAAAUGAAAAAGAACAAGAAAAAAGCACACCUUUGGCAACGAAUUUAUCCUCUA
rnacentral:misc_RNA from 1 species